UGCGAGUCAAAAUACAUGUUGAGUUGUGUCCUACAUUAGCUAGUAAAGAGAAGAUAUUUGGAUUUAUAAGGUGGUAGGUCACUCCACCUAAAAAAUUAGUCUUUUGGGUUGGAUACCUAGACUUCUCCUGAAAACAGAAGUUAGUUUGCACAUCAAGUGUACGGACACGUAACAAGUGAUGAUGCAGAUUAGUAUUACUAGCUAGCAAUGACUCUUAUUAAGCCGAACUUUUUUAGACAACGUUGGUAUUUCGUGGAAGAAAAGAAUUAUACAUUUACAUGUAUACGAUGCAAGGACGUUGCGCCUCCAACGGUCGUUGUCACUUGUGUUCUUAUUACACAAAGAGUCGCCGCGUACCGCGUGUAUGGGUAAUCGUCGCCGCUAUUGAUCUUUAAUUAAAGUUGAAAAUGCAAUCGACGUUUCAUUUGUGUUGUUGUUCUCAUUCAAUCAAUUUCAACGCCCCAAAAAAGAAAAAAAGAAAAAGAAAAAGAACUUCUCGGCUAAUACCGAAUCAAAACGCACCAAACGAUUGACAACAACGGAGUUGAAAUUUUGUGCAGUCUCCAAAUCUUUAUGUGACGCGCGCGACUUGCCUCGCCGGCCAAAAUCAUCGCAUCUUGAACGUCACAAUAGGUACAAUUGGACAUUGUUGUAUGGAUCUUGCCUUGUUGUUGUAUUGAGGCAAUUUGCUUUAUCUAGCUAUGGCUAUUUUGAGGUCAUUAAAUCCUGAAUGACACGGAUUCUCGUUUUUCAAUGCCUUGCAUGCAUUCACGUCGCGCUCAAUUACAGUUGUUAACAGUAGUAACAGACAAGGGUGCUUCGAUGAGACUCGUCGAUACUCGGUCUUGUAGAAAUGUUUGCUAAUAGGGUUAGUA
rnacentral:lncRNA from 1 species